GGGCGUGUAACUCAGUGGUAGAGUGCUCGCUUUGCACUGGAUCUAAUUCUAACAGUGUGAGAUUUGCGAGAAGCCCAGGGUUCGACUCCCUGCUCGUCCA